GAUGCAGCUCGCCGCGUGAGUGAUGAGGCCUUCGGGUUGUAAAGCUCUGUUGUUAGGGAAGAACCUGACGGUAGUAACUGCUCGGCCACUGACGGUACCUGAACAGAAAGCCCCGGCUAACUACGUGCCAGCAGCCGCGGUAAUACGUAGGGGGCAAGCGUUAUCCGGAAUUAUUGGGCGUAAAGCGUGCGCAGGCGGUUUUUUAAGUCUGAUGUGAAAUCCCCGGGCUCAACCUGGGAAGUGCAUUGGAGACUGGUAGACUUGAUUCUGGAAAAGGGAGGUGGAAUUCCAUUUGUAACAGUAAAAUGCGUAAAGAUGUGGAGGAACACUGAUGCUGAAGGCAGCCCCCUGGGUCGUGACUGGCGCUCAGGAUCAAAUGCGUGGGGAGCAAACAGGAUUAAAUACCCUGGUAAUCCACGCCGUAAACAAUGACUGCUAAUUGUUGGGUCUUUAUUGCCUUUUUAAGCCAGCUUACACCUGA
rnacentral:rRNA from 1 species